UACGUAGGCAGCAAGCGUUGUUCGGAAUUACUGGGCGUAAAGGGUGUGCAGGCGGCUUGGUAAGUGUGGUGUGAAAUCUCCCGGCUUAACUGGGAGGGUGCGCUACAAACUGCCGGGCUAGAGUGUGGGAUGGGAGAGCGGAAUUCCUGGUGUAGCGGUGAAAUGCGUAGAUAUCAGGAGGAACACCGGUGGUGUAGACGGCUCUCUGGACCAUAACUGACGCUGAGACACGAAAGCGUGGGUAGCAAACAGG
rnacentral:rRNA from 1 species